AGAGUUUGAUCAUGGCUCAGAUUGAACGCUGGCGGUAUGCUUAACACAUGCAAGUCGAACGGAAACGAUACUAGCUUGCUAGUAGGCGUCGAGUGGCGGACGGGUGAGUAACGCGUAGGAAUCUACCAGAUAGUGGGGGAUAGCCCGGAGAAAUUCGGAUUAAUACCGCAUAAUCUCUACGGAGUAAAGGGGGCCUCUAUUUAUAUGCUUUCGCUAUCUGAUGAGCCUGCGUAAGAUUAGCUAGUUGGUGAGGUAAAAGCUCACCAAGGCGACGAUCUUUAGCUGGUCUGAGAGGAUGAUCAGCCACACUGGGACUGAGACACGGCCCAGACUCCUACGGGAGGCAGCAGUGGGGAAUAUUGGACAAUGGGGGCAACCCUGAUCCAGCAAUACCGCGUGUGUGAAGAAGGCCUGAGGGUUGUAAAGCACUUUCAAUUGUGAAGAAAAG
rnacentral:rRNA from 1 species